GGAGUUAGCCGGUGCUUCUUCUGUGAGUGAUGUCCUUCCUGCCGGCUAUUAACCCGCAGGCCUUCUUCCUCACUGAAAGUGCUUUACAACCCGAAGGCCUUCUUCACACACGCGGCAUGGCUGGAUCAGGGUUGCCCCCAUUGUCCAAUAUUCCCCACUGCUGCCUCCCGUAGGAGUCUGGGCCGUGUCUCAGUCCCAGUGUGGCUGAUCAUCCUCUCAGACCAGCUACGGAUCGUCGCCUUGGUGAGCCGUUACCUCACCAACCAGCUAAUCCGACAUAGGCUCAUCCGAUAGCGCGAGGCCCGAAUGUCCCCCGCUUUCCCCCGUAGGUCGUAUGCGGUAUUAGCCUGGGUUUCCCCAGGUUAUCCCCCACUACCGGGCAGAUUCCUAUGCAUUACUCACCCGUCCGCCGCUCGCCACCAGGGAGCAAGCUCCCCGUGCUGCCGCUCGACUUGCAUGUGUUAGGCCUGCCGCCAGCGUUCAAUCUGAGCCAGGAUCAAACUCUGA
rnacentral:rRNA from 1 species